AAGGAGUAAUUAUGUUUGCAUAUUGGAAGACUUUAAUUUGAAGAACUUUGACCUAGGAUGUUGCCUAUAGAAUCAGUAUGGCAUAUUAAGGAGAGUGGGGAAAAGCAGGAGGGAUCACCAAUAUUUUGAAGCAUUCUUUGUACAAGAACACCUUCAGAAGAUUCUUUCCCGAUCACACUUUUCUUACUAGGAAGGAACUUUAGCAAAAAGCCUGGAUUUGUGAAUUUCCAUAGAAACAAUUUUAGAGGCUAUGUUGAAUUAUUCAUUAAUGUUGUGGAUAACAACUUCAACCUCAGGACAGUUGAGCCAGCAAUUUCAUGAGCAGUAAAUUCCCUGAGGGAGGGAAGGAGAAAAAUUGUCUCUACCCUGAGGUUUGAAAAAUAGUCUUCACUACAGGAAGGGUUUGCUGAGGGGUGUGUCUAAUGAGAAGAAAUUAUCUGAGAGGAUAAUCACCCCCUGCAACAGUUUUGGAAACCUGAAGCUCCCUAGAAGACUGCUAUAGAGAUUUUUUUCUUAUCCUUCCAUCCCCUGAUGGGCACCUGCUGAAUCUUUGGGAGAUCCUGAAAAGGGGAAUUGGUGCUCUGGAAGCAUUACUUAAUUUAUUUCUCUCUUUUUCUACCUUAUAUGCCUAUGGGAAGAAGAGAAAUGGUGUCCUCUUUAUGGACAAUAUUGUGUAUGCAAGCCAGAACACAAAAUUUGAAAUGAGUAUUUAGAGAGGCAGUGAGAAACAAGACAGGAUUAAAACUCCCUAAACCCUGCUAUUCAGCUGACAUCUUCAGCUUAUAUUGAUUAUAAUUUUGUGAUUUGUUUUGGGAGGGACAGCAAGAGAGGUUAACUAAUAUUUAUCUGGCCCAGUUGUUAGUCCUUAGGAAUAUAUAGUAUGUACCAGUCUUCUCAGUCUUGCAAAAAAAUUAUUUUGAAUGCCAGUAACAGUUUUGUUUCUUGUUAAUAAUAUUUUAACUGCACUUAAGGUGAUUUGGCCAUGAUAUCCUCAGAGAUAACUUGUUUGAUGGUCUUGUUCAAAAUUAGUGGUUACCUCUUAACAAACAUAACAGGACAUCUGAUAACUUUUGUGAAAGUUUUACUUGAAUAUAUGAAAGAAAAAAAAAAAAAGAGAGAGAGAGAGAAAAAUACAUUUUCAGUUUUCAGGGCUAAGAAUUCAUAUUUUUCUUUGCAUUUCCCACACUUUUCUGCAAAUAAUAAUAAUCGUUUAAUUCAGAUAUCUUUUUCAGCAGCAUCAAUGAAAACUUCUCUUUUGCAAUCAAAGGAAAAGUCUGGAGU